rnacentral:sRNA from 1 species
GCUGGGCAUGGUGGCGCAUGCCUGUAAUCCCAGCUACUCAGGAGGCAGAGGCAGGAGAAUUGCUUGAACCCAGGGAGGCAGAGGUUUGCAGUGAGCCGAGAUCGCGCCACUGCACUCCAUCCUGGGAGACAGAGUGAGACUCUGUCUCAA